rnacentral:rRNA from 1 species
AUUGAACGCUGGCGGCAUGCUUUACACAUGCAAGUCGAACGGUAACAGGCCGCAAGGUGCUGACGAGUGGCGGACGGGUGAGUAAUGCAUCGGAACGUGCCCAGUCGUGGGGGAUAACUACUCGAAAGAGUAGCUAAUACCGCAUACGAUCUAUGGAUGAAAGCGGGGGACCGUAAGGCCUCGCGCGAUUGGAGCGGCCGAUGUCAGAUUAGGUAGUUGGUGGGGUAAAGGCUCACCAAGCCAACGAUCUGUAGCUGGUCUGAGAGGACGACCAGCCACACUGGGACUGAGACACGGCCCAGACUCCUACGGGAGGCAGCAGUGGGGAAUUCUGGACAAUGGGCGCAAGCCUGAUCCAGCAAUGCCGCGUGCAGGAAGAAGGCCUUCGGGUUGUAAACUGCUUUUGUACGGAACGAAACGGCUCUGGUUAAUACCCGGGGCUAAUGACGGUACCGUAAGAAUAAGCACCGGCUAACUACGUG